AGUGAACGCUGGCGGUAGGCCUAACACAUGCAAGUCGAACGGCAGCACAGUAAGAGCUUGCUCUUACGGGUGGCGAGUGGCGGACGGGUGAGGAAUAUAUCGGAAUCUACUUUUUCGUGGGGGAUAACGUAGGGAAACUUACGCUAAUACCGCAUACGACCUACGGGUGAAAGCAGGGGAUCUUCGCACCUUGCGCGAUUGAAUGAGCCGAUGUCGGAUUAGCUAGUUGGCGGGGUAAAGGCCCACCAAGGCGACGAUCCGUAGCUGGUCUGAGAGGAUGAUCGGCCACACUGGAACUGAGACACGGUCCAGACUCCUACGGGAGGCAGCAGUGGGGAAUAUUGGACAAUGGGCGCAAGCCUGAUCCAGCCAUACCGCGUGGGUGAAGAAGGCCUUCGGGUUGUAAAGCCCUUUUGUUGGGAAAGAAAAGCAGCAGGUUAAUACCCCGCUGUUCUGACGGUACCCAAAGAAUAAGCACCGGCUAACUUCGUG
rnacentral:rRNA from 1 species